UCUGGCGUGGCUGUGGCUGUGGCAGAGGCCAGCAGCUUCAGCUCUGAUUCGACACCUAGCCUGGGAACUUCCACAUGCUGCAUGCAGGUGUGGCCCUAAAAAGUGGGGGAAAAAAACACAAAAAACAAAAUAACAAAAUGCAGUCCAGGAGAGAAAGGAGGCACAAUGAAGAAAGAUAAGAGUCACAACUUCAACUCUAGGAACAAGGCUCUCCCCUUUUUUAUUUACCACAUGUUACCAUGAAACAAAAAUAUUGAGAUGAUAAUGUCAAUCAGAAUUACAUCCAAGUUCAGAAAAAUCUAGGAACUAUCCCUAUUUAUAUUUCUCAUCUCACUACAGUCAAGAUUUAAUACACUACCUAAAAUCCAAAGACAACUAGAGCAAAAUUCCAGUCAGUGAAGCAAAGAGACGGGUGAUGAAAGAGCUCUCUGAGACAGCACAUAGAGGAGCGGUUUUCGCCGCAGCGGGAGCUCCUAGUUAAGUAUCAGUAGGGUUUUUCUUCUCCAAAACUUGUUCAUAUGCAAUAUUUGAAGAGUCAUUAAGACCCAGCAGAAAAUUCAGUGGUCCUGAGUUUAGGUCUUUUGCUGACUAGUUUCCCCUUGAUGAUGUCACCUAACCAACUCCUGCACAUCUACUUUCAAAAAAAUGCCUAUACAGCUCACUUCCCACAGUUGAUGAGGUGAUCGUAUAUAUGAGAGUACUUUCAAAACUGUGAAGUGCUAAACAAAUGUAAGACCUAUAAAUCUGUGUGCUGCCCUAGGCUGGAUUUCAGAGUUCCUGCCUUAUAAAUGGAUGACAAUGAACACAGUUGCCUCCAAGUAGGAGAAACAGGUUAAGUGCUCUUGAUCCAGGUCUAAGGUUCCUUUUCUUUGUACUGUUGACCCUUGAACAAUGUCGGUUUGAACUACAUGGAUCCACUUGCACACAUUUUUUUUUUCAAUAGUAAAUACUGUAGUACUGCACGAUCUGUGUGCAGUUGAUUAGUUGAUCAAAUCCGCCGACACGGAAUGGCCAAUGUAGAAGAAGUGUGCAUGUGGAGAGCAGACUCUAAGUUAUGUGUGGAUUUUCAGUUCUCCAGAAGGUUGGUGCCCUUAACCCCUGCUCUGUUGAAGGAUCAACUGUAUUUCAUGAAUUUUGUAUCAAGAGACUGUUAGUGAAUGUUAAAAUUCCUCCAUCUUUUAUCAGGGUGCUUUGAGUUCUCAGUAAAAGAAACCCUGACUCACACAGAUUGAACAAGAGACUAUUUUGUCUGACAAACACCAUGUCCAGAAGUCAACCAGUUGACAGGUAAUUGACAGCUUGAUAAUGUCAAAGACAAGCUUUCUGAGUCUCCUUUCCACUGUCCUCAGCACCAGCUUUGCUGAGGUUUCCUCAUGGUCGCUAAAGGGCUGCUGGAAGAAAUCACAUCUAGCUUCUUCGAUCACUUCAGAAGAAAGGGGAGAGAGAGCGGAGAUACAGGCAUUUCACUUGCACAGGCUUGUGCAAUUUACUGAAAACAUGUGCUGAGGGCGUACUGAACUAAUGGUGGUGUCAGCUCAGGAGCUCAGAUAAGGAUGUCAAAACAAAGUCAAAGAUUGUUAGGAAGGAGGAAAGGAGAAACAGACAAGAAAUUCCUAUUUUUCAAGACAGCACCACAGGAGAAAAUCUAGCACCUCGUGCAUUUCCACAGACCUGUGAACUGUUUAAUGUUCAGAUUUGCAAACCUGAUAAUUGGGCAUGAGUAAAAUCUCCUAACACUUCGCUCUACCAUCUGUUGCUGACAUAACAAUUUUACAUAAUAUGAAAAAUGCCAGAUGGAAGCUACACUUUAACUAUGUCCAAGAUGUUUUAUGUUCACAACAUACAUGGAAUAGAAGGAAUUCGCUUUGUUCCAUACACUCUUGAGCUCAUAAUUCUCCAGUUAUCAUUCUGGCCAUUGAUGGAGAAGGACAACUCCACAGCUUCCUCACCACUGUGCUGCCAUGCUGUUUGGAGAGCUGCAUGCACUGGUGGCCCUGGAGUUUCUAUGUAGGACCGAGUUAGAAGGAACAAUUUGUUUAGAACUGAGGGCUGGGAAGGGGAAGGCACACAUAUUUGAAAUUGGGUUUGGACAGCCAAGACAUAAUUUUUAGCUUAGAAUGUAUAUUAUGGCACAUAAGAAUAGUAAAGUUUUCUAAAGACGUUUUUAUUUUUACUGUAUGUAAGAUUGAGAAACUAUCAGUUGUCCAGGUCACAGCAUAAGAAGUCAAGGUCCAGCUGUUGUUUCGGAGCAGAGGUGAUGGCAGAUGUUUCAGGGGAAGUAAAAUUCCUCCCAUAAACUUUCUACAUGCAGGAAGAAACUUAUAAAGUACAGGCAACCAUUUCCCCAUUUUUGUUAUAAAAUGCUUCAAACACAUAUUAAUCUGAGUGUUAUAGCAGCCGUCCAGUCAUGUGCUCAACAUUUGAGUCUUUUCAGAUGUUAACAUUUUGUCAUUCUCCAUCUCCACCUUUUUAUUUAUUCCCUUUCUUGCUAGAGCGAUUACCCCAUCCGGUAUCAAUCUUUUGCAUAUUUUAUACUAUUACCGUAUGUGUAUAUAUCCAUAAUACAACCAUAAUUUUGAACAUGGCAUCAUAUGGGGUGUUAAUCAGCCUUUUCUUUUCAUUGUUUUGAUGAGUUUUACCCUUGUUGCUCCAGUUCUCUGUUUUGAACUGCUCUAUCAUAUUCUGUUACUGAAAAUAGUACGGUUUUCUUGCCUGUUCUAUUGAGCUUCCCCUUGCACAGGUCAGAGACCUUCUCUAGGUUGUAGAUCUACAAAGGGAGAGUGAGAAACUGAUUUAUCAAGUAGCAUUUGUACCAACAAUGUAUGAGAAGUCCCUUUUCCUCAUUUUUGCCAAUCUAUUGGCUAUGAGAUUGCAUUUUCCUGAAAUCUAGAGAAAUAGCGCAACUUUUCAUUUAUUUGAUUUUCAGAUUUCCUCCUCUGAUAAUUUGCAUCUUGAUAUAUUUUGCCCUUUUGAGGAUAUAUGUCUUUUUCUUGCUGAAUUAUAACAUUUUUUACAUCUUUUAGAUGCUAAUAUUUACUAAUUAUAUGCGCUCACAUAUCUUCUUCCUGUCUAUGACUUGUCUUUUAAUUUUUGUUUAAGGUAUUUUUUUGGUUGUAUUUGGGUAUAUAAGUUUCAUGUAGUUGCAUUUGUCUACCUUUUCCUUAAUGAAGGGUUUGGUUUUCUUCUGCUUGUCUCUGGAAUCCUUAAGACUGAUUCAAGGUCACAAAGAGAUUUUUCCUUUAUUCUCUUCCAGAACUAUAUCUUUUUAACAAGUCUUGAUAUCUGGUAGAGCAAGCUCUCUGGCUGUGUCUUAGCUAUCGUGAUGGUCAAUUUUAGGCAUCCAUUUGACUGGGCCAUGGGGUGCCCCGAUUAAUCAUUAUUCCUUGGUAUGUGUGUGAGGGUGUUUCUGGAUGAGGUUAGCAUCUGAAUGGGUGAACUCAGUCAAGUAGAUUGCCCUCUCCAGUGUGGGUGGGCCUCAUCUAAUCCAUUGAGGGCCUAAAAAGCAGAGGAAGGGAGAACUUGUUCCCUUCCUGCCUGCAUGAUUGAGUUAAGACUUGCAUCUUCUUCUUUCCUUAGACUAGGAUUUAUGCCAUUGGCUCCCCUGGUUCUCAGGACUGUAAUUAAACCACCAGCUCUCCUGGGCCUCCAGCCUGCAGACAGCAGAUGGUGUGACACAGCCUCCAUAAUCGCAUGAACCAGUUCCCAACUCCCCAUAAUAAAUCUCCUUUGUAUCCCAUUGCUUCCGUUUUGCUGGAGGAUUCUAUUAUGGUCUCUUUUCCAUCCUGUACAAGUAUUAGGCUCGGCUUGUCAAAUUCCACGGAAAACUCUGCUGGGAUUUUCAUUUUAAUUCCAUGCCAUUAAUAGAUUAAUAUGGGGACAGAUGUCAUCUUCCUGACCUUUUCUUUUCUUCCGUGAACGUCCUAUGUCUCUGCAUAUAUUCAGAUCAUCUUUUACAUUGUUCAGUGCUAUUUUGUAAUUUUCUCCAUAAAAGGUUUUUCAUAUCUUGUACAAAUUUAUUCUUAGGUAUGUUGUAGUUUUUGUAGCUAUGAAAGAUGAGAACUCUUUCCGAAAGCAUUUUCUAACUGGCUAUUAUUACUAUGUGUAGGAAUGCGAAAAAUGUGAGUGUGCUGGUUUUGUAUCCAGCCCAUUGCCAAACUUUGUUAUCAGUCUGAAAGUUUUAGAUUCUCUUGAAUUUUCUAUGGAGAUAAUCAUAUUCUUUACGAAUAAGGAUGGUUUUAUCUCCUUUUUAAAUAUUCUUAGACCUCUUCUUUCUUUGCUUAUCCAGAACCUCCAACGUAAAAUCGACCAGUGGUUUUAUUCUUUCAAACCUGAUGUCGAUGGGAAUGAUUCCAAAGUUUCUGAUGAAGUACAAUAUCUGCUAAAAUGGUUGAUAACAGAUGUACCUUGUCAGGCAUCAAAAUUACCUUGGACCCAAGGAAGAAGAAAAUCAUUUGACCAUGCAAAGACUCGUACAUGAAUGCUCAUGGCAGAUUUUAUUUGUUACAGCCCCAAAGCGAAGACAAUCCAACAUCCAUUAGCAUGUGAGUGGCAAAACAAAUUGUGGUCUCUCUGUACGAUGGAAUACUAUUCAGCAAUAAAAAGGAUUGAACUAUUGAUAGACACAACAACAUGAAACUUAAAUAUGCUGAAAGAACCCAAAAAGAGUGCAUAGUGUAUGAUUUUAUUUAUAGAAAAUUCUAGAAAAUGCAAACUAAUCUGUAGUAACAGAAAACAGACCAUUGGUUGCCUGGAGAUAGAGGGAGGGUAUAGAAAGGGAGGGAAGUGAAGUUACAAAGAUGUACAAGGAACCUUUUGCAGGCAAUGAAUAUGUUCCUUAUCUUGACUGCAGAGAUGGUUUCAUUAAAUAUGUGUGGUUUAUUGUAUGUCAGUUACACGUCAAUAAAGCUGUAAAAGAUGAAAAAACGA
rnacentral:lncRNA from 1 species